UUUCCGUAGGUGAACCUGCGGAAGGAUCAUUAACGAGUUAGGGUCUUCCAGGCCCGACCUCCCAACCCUAUGUUUAUUGAACCUCUGUUGCUUCGGCGGACCCGCCCCACGGCCGCCGGAGGACCGCUGCAAGGCGUCCUCUGGCCAGCGUCCGCCGAUGGCCAACCACUUAAACUCUGAAUGAAUCGUGUCAUAUGUCUAAGUCUAUGAUUAAAUUAAAGCAAAACUUUCAACAACGGAUCUCUUGGUUCUG
rnacentral:misc_RNA from 1 species